rnacentral:rRNA from 1 species
GACUGUUUAUUAAAAACACAGCACUCUGCAAACACGAAAGUGGACGUAUAGGGUGUGACGCCUGCCCGGUGCCGGAAGGUUAAUUGAUGGGGUUAGCGCAAGCGAAGCUCUUGAUCGAAGCCCCGGUAAACGGCGGCCGUAACUAUAACGGUCCUAAGGUAGCGAAAUUCCUUGUCGGGUAAGUUCCGACCUGCACGAAUGGCGUAACGAUGGCGGCGCUGUCUCCACCCGAGACUCAGUGAAAUUGAAAUCGCUGUGAAGAUGCAGUGUAUCCGCGGCUAGACGGAAAGACCCCGUGAACCUUUACUGUAGCUUUGCACUGGACUUUGAGCCUGCUUGUGUAGGAUAGGUGGGAGGCUUUGAAGCGUGGACGCCAGUUCGCGUGGAGCCAUCCUUGAAAUACCACCCUGGCAUGCUUGAGGUUCUAACUCUGGUCCGUGAUCCGGAUCGAGGACAGUGUAUGGUGGGCAGUUUGACUGGGGCGGUCUCCUCCUAAAGAGUAACGGAGGAGUACGAAGGUGCGCUCAGACCGGUCGGAAAUCGGUCGCAGAGUAUAAAGGCAAAAGCGCGCUUGACUGCGAGACAGACACGUCGAGCAGGUACGAAAGUAGGUCUUAGUGAUCCGGUGGUUCUGUAUGGAAGGGCCAUCGCUCAACGGAUAAAAGGUACUCCGGGGAUAACAGGCUGAUACCGCCCAAGAGUUCAUAUCGACGGCGGUGUUUGGCACCUCGAUGUCGGCUCAUCACAUCCUGGGGCUGAAGCCGGUCCCAAGGGUAUGGCUGUUCGCCAUUUAAAGUGGUACGCGAGCUGGGUUUAGAACGUCGUGAGACAGUUCGGUCCCUAUCUGCCGUGGACGUUUGAGAUUUGAGAGGGGCUGCUCCUAGUACGAGAGGACCGGAGUGGACGAACCUCUGGUGUUCCGGUUGUCACGCCAGUGGCAUUGCCGGGUAGCUAUGUUCGGAAAAGAUAACCGCUGAAAGCAUCUAAGCGGGAAACUUGCCUCAAGAUGAGAUCUCACUGGGAACUUGAUUCCCCUGAAGGGCCGUCGAAGACUACGACGUUGAUAGGCUGGGUGUGUAAGCGUUGUGAGGCGUUGAGCUAACCAGUACUAAUUGCCCGUGAGGCUUGACCAU